AUGUCGGCCUACUGCGGAAAGUACAAGGAUGAGCUCAUCAAGAACGCUGCCUACAUCGGCACCCCUGGCAAGGGUAUCCUCGCUGCUGAUGAGUCCACCGGCACCAUCGGCAAGCGCUUUGCCAGCAUCAAUGUUGAGAACGUUGAGGACAACCGUCGUGCCCUCCGUGAGCUCCUCUUCUGCACCCCUGGUGCCCUCCAGUACCUCAGCGGCGUGAUCCUGUUUGAGGAGACCCUGUACCAGAGCACCAAGGGUGGCAUCAAGGUGGACAAGGGUACCAUUGAGCUUGCUGGAACCAACGGUGAGACCACCACCCAGGGCUUUGAUGACCUUGGCAAGCGCUGCGCCAAGUACUAUGAGGCUGGUGCCCGCUUCGCCAAGUGGCGUGCAGUCCUCAAGAUCGGCGCCACUGAGCCAUCGCAGCUCUCCAUCGACCAGAACGCUCAGGGUCUGGCUCGCUAUGCCAUCAUCUGCCAGGAGAAUGGUCUGGUGCCCAUUGUGGAGCCUGAGAUCCUUGUUGAUGGACCUCAUGACAUUGACCGCUGUGCUUACGUCACCGAGAUCGUCCUUGCUGCCUGCUACAAGGCCCUCAACGACCAGCAUGUCCUCCUCGAGGGCACUCUCCUGAAGCCCAACAUGGUCACCCCUGGUUCUGACUCCAAGAAGGUGGCCCCUGAGGUGAUUGCUGAGUACACCGUCCGCACCCUCCAGAGGACCGUCCCUGCUGCCGUCCCCGCCAUUGUCUUCCUCUCUGGUGGACAGAGCGAGGAGGAGGCGACCCUGAACCUGAACGCCAUGAACAAGCUCCAGACCAAGAAGCCCUGGAACCUGUCCUUCUCCUUCGGGCGUGCCCUCCAGCAGAGCACCCUCAAGGCCUGGUCCGGCAAGACGGAGAACGAGGAGAAGGCCAGGGCGGCGUUCCUGGUGAGGUGCAAGGCCAACUCCGAGGCCACCCUCGGCACCUACAAGGGCGACGCCACCCUCGCUGAGGGCGCCUCCGAGAGCCUCCACGUCAAGGACUACAAGUACUGA
rnacentral:rRNA from 1 species